UACGAAGGGGGCUAGCGUUGCUCGGAAUCACUGGGCGUAAAGCGCACGUAGGCGGAUUGCUAAGUCAGGGGUGAAAUCCUGGAGCUCAACUCCAGAACUGCCUUCGAUACUGGGAGUCUCGAGUCCGGGAGAGGUGAGUGGAACUGCGAGUGUAGAGGUGAAAUUCGUAGAUAUUCGCAAGAACACCAGUGGCGAAGGCGGCUCACUGGCCCGGUACUGACGCUGAGGUGCGAAAGCGUGGGGAGCAAACAGG
rnacentral:rRNA from 1 species